GACGAACCGUGCAAACGUUAUUCGGAAUCACUGGGCUUAAAGGGCGCGUAGGCGGAUUGCCAAGUCGGUGGUGAAAUCGUUCGGCCCAACCGGACAAGUGCCGCCGAUACUGGCAGUCUCGAGGGAGGUAGGGGUCGAGGGAACUGGUGGUGGAGCGGUGAAAUGCGUAGAUAUCUGGAGGAACACCGGUGGCGAAGGCGGCAUCCUGGACCAACACUGACACUGAGGAGCGAAAGCCAGGGGAGCAAACGGG
rnacentral:rRNA from 1 species